AAAUAUGGCACCAAAAGUAUAUGACUUAUUCUUAUUAUAAAUAGAUAGACAUCCACAGGUUAUUUCAUACUUUCAAGCACCUAAGAAGAUGAAGGCCUUUACCUGUGUUUUGGUCAUUCUACUUGUUUUUUCCAUAGGAAAUGAAAGGCUAAUGAAAGUAACAGAGGCAGCCUCAAACCAUUGUACACAGACACUCGCAGAUGCGAAAUGUGUAGCGAGUCGGUGCGAUGAUUCAUGCAAAAAACGUUAUGGAAAUCUAGCAAGUGGAUUUUGCACUCGCGACAAAUGUAUUUGUAUACACUCACUUCCAUGUCAGGAUUUAUAGUCCUAUGUUUGCAACAUUUCCCUUACAACACAUGUUUGAAUAAGGGAAAAUGAAAAGCUUAAUAAUAAAUGAUGUUUCUAUGAA